GUGGCGGGUGCUAAUAAUGCAGUCGAGCGAACAGACGAGGAGCUUGCUCCUCUGACGUUAGCGGCGGACGGGUGAGUAACACGUGGAUAACCUACCUAUAAGACUGGGAUAACUUCGGGAAACCGGAGCUAAUACCGGAUAAUAUAUUGAACCGCAUGGUUCAAUAGUGAAAGACGGUUUUGCUGUCACUUAUAGAUGGAUCCGCGCCGCAUUAGCUAGUUGGUAAGGUAACGGCUUACCAAGGCAACGAUGCGUAGCCGACCUGAGAGGGUGAUCGGCCACACUGGAACUGAGACACGGUCCAGACUCCUACGGGAGGCAGCAGUAGGGAAUCUUCCGCAAUGGGCGAAAGCCUGACGGAGCAACGCCGCGUGAGUGAUGAAGGUCUUCGGAUCGUAAAACUCUGUUAUUAGGGAAGAACAAAUGUGUAAGUAACUAUGCACGUCUUGACGGUACCUAAUCAGAAAGCCACGGCUAACUACGUGCCAGCAGCCGCGGUAAUACGUAGGUGGCAAGCGUUAUCCGGAAUUAUUGGGCGUAAAGCGCGCGUAGGCGGUUUUUUAAGUCUGAUGUGAAAGCCCACGGCUCAACCGUGGAGGGUCAUUGGAAACUGGAAAACUUGAGUGCAGAAGAGGAAAGUGGAAUUCCAUGUGUAGCGGUGAAAUGCGCAGAGAUAUGGAGGAACACCAGUGGCGAAGGCGACUUUCUGGUCUGUAACUGACGCUGAUGUGCGAAAGCGUGGGGAUCAAACAGGAUUAGAUACCCUGGUAGUCCACGCCGUAAACGAUGAGUGCUAAGUGUUAGGGGGUUUCCGCCCCUUAGUGCUGCAGCUAACGCAUUAAGCACUCCGCCUGGGGAGUACGACCGCAAGGUUGAAACUCAAAGGAAUUGACGGGGACCCGCACAAGCGGUGGAGCAUGUGGUUUAAUUCGAAGCAACGCGAAGAACCUUACCAAAUCUUGACAUCCUCUGACCCUCCUAAAAAUAAAGUUUUCCCCUUCGGGGGACAAAAUGACAGGGGGUGCAUGGUUGCCCCCACUCCGGGCCGGAGAAGUUGGGUUAAGUCCCGAACGAGGGAACCCUUAAGUUAAUUGCACCUUAAGUGGGGCCUCAAUUGAUGCCGGGAAACCCCCGAAAAGGGGGGAGAACCAAAACCUAGCCCCUAAAUUGGGGCACCCGGGCCUGGGGAAAAAAGGGGGAAGCACGCGGGAGCACUCCCCAGGAUUUUCCUAUUGAAGGAGG
rnacentral:rRNA from 1 species